AGCAUUUUGCUGUUUGGGAGGACCCAUUCAAGAAACCUAGCUAUCUUUUUGCCUUAGUUGCAGGACAAUUAGAGAGCCGAGAUGACACUUUCACAACAUGCUCGAGUCACAAAGUUGCUUUAAGAAUAUGGACCUCACCACAAGAUCUCUCAAAAACCGAACACGCCGUGUAUUCUCUCAAAGCCGCCAUGAAAUGGGAUGAAGAUGUUCGUUCUUCUUUCCAUAUACUCAUUUUGUCUUUUUUUUUCUUACAUCUUCACUUAAGAGCGUUUUUGUCUUUUCAUCUCUUACUUUAGGUUUUCGGGCGAGAGUAUGAUCUUGAUCUCUUCAACAUCGUGGUUGUUUCCGAUUUCUUGUAAGCGAAUUUUUUUUAUUUGUCCGGAUUUUAUUUCUUUACUUACAUUUUAAUUGGUUUUAAAUUGACAGGGAGCCAUGGAAAACAAGAGCUUGAAUGUAUGUGUAUAGACAUGUAGUAGUAAAUUAUAUAGCUAUAAAGUCUAUAAACUUUUUUUUCCAAAUAAAAAAAUGUUUUUUAUUAAUGUUUUUUUUUUCAUUUUUUAAUAGAUUUUCAAUUCUAAGCUUAUUCUGGCAUCAACGGAGACUGCAUCAGAUGCAGAUUAUGCUGCAAUUUUGGGUGUUAUUGGUCAUGAGGUUUGAGAUUUUUUAUUCAUUUGGUCCUUUUUUUAAAGAAAAAUUAUAUCACUUAAUUGCUUAAAUAAUAACCUGUAUGUAUACCCUUCUAUAUAUUGUAGUAUUUCCAUAACUGGACUGGCAACAGGUUCGCUUAUGUGAUUUUUAUUGAUUAUAUUCUAAAAAAUAUGAAAUACCUUUCUAAUUUUUAUAUACCUUUAUAGAGUGACAUGUCGUGAUUGGUUCCAAUUGAGUUUGAAGGAAGGUCUUACCGUUUUUCGUGAUCAAGUAAGAUCUUGUUGCAGAAUUUAAAAAAAAUAUAUUAUAUUUAUAUCAUUAAUACGUGUUUAAUGAUUAUAACAUGUUUUGCAGGAAUUUUCAUUUGAUUUAGGUAGUCGUACAGUUAAGAGAAUCGGUGAUGUUUCAAAGCUUUGUACAUACCAAUUUUCACGGGUUUUCAUCUUUAAUCUAAUUGGACAUCAAUUAAAUAUUGUUUUUAUUUUUCCUUUUUAUAAUAAUUGUAGUAAACAUUGUCUUUUCUAGGAUGCGGGACCCAUGGCUCACCCUGUUAGGCCCCACUCUUACAUUAAGGUUUAUAAUUCAUUUACGUUUUUUAAACCUCUCUUUUUUCUAUUAAAGCUUCAAAACUUACCCUCUACUUUCAAUUGUUUUUCUUUUCCCUCCUCUAGGUGGACAAUUUCUAUACAUCAACGGUAUGGUUCUGAUAUAUUCACCCUUGGUUUACUCUUAGUUUUAUUUCGACAUGAAUAAACAAAAAGAUGAUAAAUUAGGAAUUCCUAUUUUUUGUGUAAUUUAUAUUUACAGGUGUACGAAAAGAGUGCUGAAGUUGUCCGCAUGUACAAAACUUUAUUGGGAAGUGAAGGGUUUCGGAAGGUAAUAGAUUUUUAUAAGGAAAAAGUUGGAGGUAAUGAAGUGCAGAACUAUUAUUUGGUAGAAUUUUACAAAAGACAAUACUAUAAUAGAAAAAACGAGAGUGGGACGCUAUAAUACUGAAACAAAUGAAAGAAUGUUGCAAUUUUUUUUUGCGUUUAGCACUUAGUUUUAUUGUAAAAUCAAUGUUUGUUGUUUUAGGGAACAAAUUUGUACUUUGAAAGGCACGAUGGGCAAGCAGUAACUUGUGAAGAUUUCUUUCUUGCUAUGCGAGAUGCUAACAAUGUGGAUUUUGCUAAUUUCUUAUUAUGGUAUUUCACUUUUACUACCUUUAUUUUUACAAUCUUUGUUAAAAAAUUCAUUAUGUUAACAAUCAUGACUUGUGUUUAGGUAUUCACAAGCUGGUACCCCUGUUGUGAAAGUUACAUCUUCUUACAAUGUUGAAGCUCAUACAUUUUCUUUGAAGUUUAGGUGAGGUUUUAAGACAUUCUAUGCAUUGGAUUGAGACUGAUAUAUAAUGGGACAAAAAGUAUAAGUUUUUGUCAUAUCCACCCAAAAAGGUUGAGCGUAACCGAUGUUAAUGGGACAAAAUUAUAUUUUUUGUCUCACCCAAAAAGAAAUCAUGUGGGGCUAAGGUUAAAUUACCAUUGUAAUUUUUUUUUCAGUCAAACGGUGCCACCUACGCCAGGUCAGCCUAUAAAAGAGCCAAUGUUCAUUCUUGUAGCUAUGGGGCUUCUUGAUUCAAGUGGGAAAGACAUGCCAUUAUCAUCUUUCUAUCAAGAUGGGAAGUUAGUGUCCAUCACAUCUAGUGGUCAGCCUGUCUACACUACAGUUCUCAGGGUUACAAAGGUAAUUUUACACUUCGUAAGGGCCCUGAAAACUUUUAUAAGUUAUACAUCUUACAAACUAAAUCAUUUUUGUGUCUUAAAUUUAGGCUGAAGAAGAAUUUGUAUUCCAUGGCGUGGCUGAAAAACCGAUUCCAUCACUGUUAAGGGGUUAUAGUGCUCCUAUUCACCUACACUCUGAUCUUACAGAAAACGAUUUGUUUUUCCUUCUUGCUCAUGAUUCAGAUGAAUUUAAUCGGUAAGAAAUUGCAACGUACUUUCAUAUAAUUGUGUGUUAUAGCAUUCUACUUUCAUUUCUUUAUAUCACAUGAUUGUAUUUUUAGUUUUUUCUUAUUAAGGCAUUGUAAAAUAGGGUGAUCUUUUCAAAAUACAAUGUUGUAAUAGAAUAAAUGAAAUAAUGAUGUUAUAAUAAACAAGUUAUUUGUUGGAUUUAACCCGUAUUAUCAUUGCAGACACUCUACUAUUCUGUAGUAAAUUAGUAAUACACCAUCAUACGUUUACGUGACACUUUAAAGAAACCAUUUUUCCAGUUAUCAACUUUUGAGAAAGGACAAAACACAAAAGAAUAUAAUGUUAUGUAGUUUCACCAUUUUAUUGAUUUAGCUAUUGAACUAUUAUUACUAUUGCAGUUGGGAAGGUGGACAAAUAUUGGCAAGGAAACUGAUGCUCAACCAAGUUGUUAACUUUCAAAAAUAUAAUAAAUUGGUUCUUGAUCCACAAUUUGUGCAUGGUAUCAAAUGUAUUCUUUUGGAUUCGAGUCUAGACAAGGUAUUUUUCUUGAAUGAUUUUUUAGUUCGUAUAGUUUUCAAUAUUCGAGGUAAUUGAACACUAAAUCGAUUCGUUUAUAUUUAGGAAUUUAUUGCAAAAGCAAUAACACUCCCUAGUGAAGGCGAAAUUAUGGACAUGAUGGAAGUAGCAGACCCUGAUGUUGUUCAUGUUGUUCGAUCUUUUAUCAGAAAGCAGCUUGCUUUGGAGUUGAAGCAAGAAUUCAUAAACUUGGUAAAAAUAUGCCUCCUACCUACCCCCACCCCCUUUGAAUUGUGAACAUUGUGUUAGUUAAUGCUGACAUUUUUUAUAGGUGAAAGAAAACAGGAGCUCGGAGAAGUAUAAGUUUGAUCAUGUGAAUAUGGCAAGACGUACUCUUAAGAACACAGCCCUUGGUAUUAUUUUUUCUCUUUUUUUGUUGAUAGUGGUUUGGUAAAUGCAAGAAAUAGCAACAUUUUCAUUUAUUUUUUUAUUUAAUUUCCUCCUAUUAAAAUGAUAUAUGUUGAAAACUCUAACCAAUUAUACAAAUGCCAACCAACCACAUCAUUUUUUAUAACAGGGUAGGUUUUUUUCAAAUUAAAGUGUCUUUAUAUUUUUUAUUUUUCACAUGCAAUGCUAUAGUUUGAUAGAAUUUUUGAAGUACAAUGUCCUGAUAAGAAGAAAAAGUUAUAAGUACAAUGUUAUAAUAGGGUAGAAUUUUGGAAGUAUAAUGCCUUAAUCAAAAUCAAAAGUACAAUUUAAUAGUCGAAAGAAAUUAAAGUAGGAUGUUAUAAGUACCAUAAACAAAUAAACGAAAGUAUGUUGUUAUUUCUUGCAUUUAUCCCUUUUUUAUAUUGACAAGUGUUGAUGUUUAUGAUUUUGACUUUUUUUUUUUGGAAAAAAAGGAUAUCUUGCAUCUCUUGAAGAUGAAGAAAUGAGUGAGCUUGUGUUGAAUGAAUACAAAAGUGCAGGAAAUAUGACAGAUCAAUUCUCAGCUCUUACAACCAUCGCUCAAAAACCAGGUAAUGCCCGUGAAGAUGCUUUGGCUGACUUUUAUAACAAAUGGCACCAUGACUUCCUGGUAAAAUUUUGUUUUAUGUAAUUUAAUUUGGAUAUAUUAAAGUAAAAAAGGGAUCUUUUUUAUAUGUUGGUUUUGUUUUCUUGAUUUUUCAGGUGGUUAACAAGUGGCUUUCGCUUCAAUCUGCAUCGGAUAUUCUUGGGAACGUUGAGAACGUUAAGAAACUUUUGGAUCAUCUAUCAUUUGACCUAACAAAUGCCAACAAGGUCAGAACUCUAGUCUCAUUUUGGUCACCAUUUUUUGUAUGGGAAUAUGAGCUGGUUUGAGUUUAUAUAUGAAUGAUAAGGACCAAUUGGGUAGAAUUUGAAGAAAAAGAAAACAAUUACUGAAAAAAUAAACGGGUUUCAAUGAUUUAAAAGUUGAAGCAUACUCUAAUGGUGUGUUUAGUUGGAAAGAAUGAAAUGGACAAGGUAAUGGAAUGAGGAAUUACAUUCAAAUGUCUAGUACGCUUGUUGGUUAGCAUGUAGGAAUGGAAUGAUUUUUUAUAUGAAUUUUUUAUUAUAUUUAAACAUUAUAUAUUAUCUUAAACUACUUUAUACAUGUUGUAAUUAUAAACUAAAUAAAUUCAUAAUAAAAGAUGAUUAAAACCCAAUCCCAAUUAAGGCUACAAUAAGAAUUAUUAAAAUUGAAUAUCACUGUUUUGAUGAUAGCUUUUGUGAUUGCAUUUAAUAUAUUAAAUGUGAUUAUGUAUUUUCUUGAACUUUGAUUUUGGACAGAUGUUUUCACUUAUUGGAGGAUUUCGUUCAUCAUAUGUUAACUUCCAUGCUAAAGAUGGUUCAGGUUACAAAUUCGUGGGAGACCUUGUUCUACAGCUUGACAAACUAAACCCUCAGGUGAAAAUAACUUAAUUACCUUUUUUAUUUUUCUUUGUUUGGGUCAGAUCGAAAUAAGAAUUUUAAGAUACCCUUAAAUUAUAUACAACAUUUUACAAUAGGGAUAGAUGCAAGAAAAAACGAAUUGCAACGUACUUUCUUUGUUGUAGUUGUUUGCUUACAUUUCUUUAUAUUGCAACAUUGUAUUUUAGUUUUUUUUCUUAUUGGACAUUAUACUCUGAAAAUUGCUUUGUAUUUUGAUGACAUCGUUAUACUUGGUAGAUUUUCAAAUUACAAUGUCUUAAUAAGAAAAAAAAAAUUGAAAGUAAAUUCCUAUAAUUAGGUAGAUUGUAUAAAGUACAAUGUUAUAGUAGGGAGAACUGAAAGUAGGAUGGUAUAUAAUGAUCAAAAAAACAAAACUAUGUUGCCAUCUCCUGCAUCUAACCAUUUAACAAUACAAAACUUAUGGGGUCGUUGAAGUUACCAUUUUACCCUUGUCUUGAUCCAGAUGGCAUCUGGGGUGGUCUCAUCCUUUUCUAGAUGGAAGCGCUAUGACGAUACCCGCCAAAAUCUUGCCAAGGUAAUGAGUCUUGACCUUUAAUUAUCAUAUGAUAUAAUAAACAAAAAAUAAUAAAUUUAAAGUAUGUUGCUAAUUCUUGACGAAAAUGGAAAAUCAGGCACAACUGGAGAUGAUUGUGUCGGCUAAUGGGCUCUCAGAGAACGUAUAUGAAAUCGCCUUAAAGAGUUUGGCUUAGAAUCUAUAUUUUUUUAUCAAGAAUCAAAGUGGUAAUCACAUAAACAUGAAUUAUAAUAAUGGUAAAUGGCAAGAACGUGAAUAAUUUUACAAAAAAUUUCCUAUAUUUUGUUCAAGAUCUUUAGGUGAAAAAGAAAUGCUAUUUUCUUGGUUUAGUCCUUUUGUUCUUAUUUUUAAAAUAAUUAUAAUACAUUAUAAUCUUAUUGAAUUGAUCACUUUAACAAUAAAAAAACAAGGUAUAUUGUUUUACAAAGUGUGUCAUGUAUAAUAUAUGUGAUGAAUUAUGUAUCACGGUUAGAGGGGAUACAUUUGAAAAAAGUCAUCAAACCUUGUAAAUGGAGAUGGUUUUGCUUGGUUUGGUUUUGAUCGAUAUCAUAAUUGGUCGAGUAUAGUGUGAAAAUGGACAAAACUUUCUACUAGUUCUUACAUAUUAAAAGAUGGAUACAAUAAGAGAAGGCAGUGUAAUGCUUUUGUGAUGAAAGACUCUGAUAGUUUGCAUAGAACAAAAGUAUUUGUUCUUCAUGUGUGAUGUAACAAUUCAUACAAUACGGGCUAGGGAUCUUAUUUGUACUAAGAAAAACCAAUCAACAUGUUAUCAAUUGAACAAAAAAAUUGGUAGUUAGUAUUGUAUUAUUGUUUGAUAUCAUAGAAAACCCUUGUAUGGUUUAUGCUUGUAUCGAUCUCAAUAUAAAAAAAUGUGAAUCAAUUUUUACAUGCUUAGUAUGUUGGUGUUGUAUUGGGUUUGAAUCUAAAUUCAUGGUACUAACAUUAUCACAAAAAACAACAGUGGCUCAGAAAAGUGAACAAGAAAGCUUGAGUUGAAGAUUUUUAAGGCAACCAACUUUUGGCACAACAUUAGCUACCCCUAAUACUCAAACUCGACACUGAAACGGGAAAAAACAUGUUGUCAUUUGGAGGACCAGGAGCUUAUCAUCAAGAUAUAUGUAUAACCUAAAGGAGGAUCUUAUCAUCAAGAUAUAUGUUUAACCUAAAGGUGGACUGAAAUGUCAUGGAGCUACCAACCAAAUCAACAUCUGAAUAUGAGACCAAGUGGUCGAUGAAUAGCAGAAGAAUGUCAAUGUCGUGCAUCAAAGUGCCUUUGAGGUACCGUAGGAUGCGUUUGAGAGUGAUGAAGUGCAUAACAUGGAGGACAAACUUCUUAGACAACAUAAGAUAUAUCCGGAUGAGUGAAUGCCAAAUAUUAUAAAGCUCCAAAAAAGCUACGCGCUUGGGGUUAGAGAUCAUAUAUCCAACAUUGGAAAGCUUGGGUUUCAUGCCAGUGGGGGUACUACAUGGGUUACACGUGGUUAUGUCAACACACACAGGAAUCUCUUAAGCAAAAGCAACACGGGACAAAAAAAUUUCCCUUGGAGCUGGGAGAGGCAGAAAUGCCAGGACUAGGAUAAUGGACCAAAAUCACACAUAGGAAAUGAUAAAGAUAGACGCGAUAUGACUAUAUUGAUGAGAAAGGACAGGAGGUAGUAUGUAACAUCCCAAAAACCAUAGUAAAAAAUUUGAUUUAUCAAAAGUCAUUUUCAUAAAAACCAUAAGUCAUACAAAACAUUGUCUCUAAAACAUAGUCAUAAAAAUUAGAGUAUUCAAUAACAUCUCUCAACAUAAAUCCAUAUGAUGAUAUGUACAAUCAUGUCUUCGCCUUUCUCUGAUCAUCCGAAGUACCUGAAAAAUUUAAACCCACAACUGUAAGCCAGAGCUUAGAGAGUGCCCCCGAAAUACCCCACACAACAAUACACAUACAACACAUGCACACAUGACGCCUCGCAAGGCCUACAAGAUACUAGAUCGCUCUACUGAGCAUACAGUCUACUGGACCGCCUCGUAAUGCCUACUGAAGCUGGACCGCCUCGCAAGGCUUACCGUACACCUGGACUGCCCAAUUAUCUUGGCCUACAGCACAAAGCAGGUUCGCCUCAACCCAACCACAAUAUGUCGAUAUAUGCAAACAAACAAACAAUAAAGUUAAUCAUAACAUAUCUACCAAUCUACUCGAUCAUUACAACAUACCAACAUCCUACACACAAAUAUACAUACUGUAGUACAAAGUGUAAUGAAAGAACUCACCUUACAACAUAACAGAUAAGAGUACAACUCACGCAAUCCAAUAAUUGGUACUACGAGUCACAUAUAAAACAACCAGGGACCAAUUCUCAAUCCAAAGCCCAAACCCCUUAAGUUGACCAAAAGCGAACUUGGUCAAAAAGUCAACGGUAAAAUCUCCAUCAAUUGGUCACCAUGUCGUGGCCAAGAUUUUUCCCCGCAAUGGUGACCUCACAACAAAACAGUCGCGAAGACCACCUAACACCACGUCUUAGGAACUAAACCUCCACGUCAUGGGAACUGUUAUGGCCAUCUUAAUGUAUUAAACUCUUAAUCCUUCAAGUUACCCAUCCAUACUUCCCAGAAGGCUUUCAGUACCGCUUACCACCCUCAGACGGACAGACAUAGUGAGCAGACGAUUCAGACACUUGAGGAUAUGCUUCGGUCAUGUGUGUUGGACUUCGGAGGGAGUUGGGACACGUAUAUGCCAUUGGCUGAGUUUUCUUAUAACAACAGCCACCAUUCGAGCAUUGGUAUGCCUCCCUUCGAGUUGUUGUAUGGGAAGAGGUGUCGGAAUCCCAUCUGUUGGGGAGAGGUAGGGCAGCGAGUGAUGGGCAGCAUUGAGAUAGUGCUUCAGACGACAGAGCAGAUACAACAGGUUAGACAGAGGUUGCUGACGGCCCAGAGUCGCCAGAAGAGUUACGCGGAUAGGCGACGAUCCGAGCUCGAGUUUCAGGUUGGAGAUUUUGUACUCCUGAAGGUGUCUCCUUGGAAAGGAGUGAUCCGAUUCAGGAAAAGGGGAAAGUUGGGGCCCCGGUACAUUGGACCGUUUAGGGUGAUCGCGAGGGUGGGCAGGGUAGCAUAUCGUUUGGAGCUACCUGCAGAGUUGAGCCAAAUUCAUGAUACCUUCCACGUGUCUCAACUGAGGAAGUGUAUAGCCGACGAGUCGGCAGUGGUGUCGUAGGAGGAUAUCCAGGUGGACGCAAGUCUGGAUUAUGUUGAGAGAUCGAUCGCGAUCUUGGACUGAAAGGUCAAGGUUCUGAGAAACAAGGAGGUGCCUCUAGUUCAGGUCUAGUGGCAGCAUCGUAGGGGGUCCAAGCUAACUUGGGAGCCGGAGUCAGAGAUACGGGAGCAACAUCCAGAGUUGUUUUCGGCAUGAGACUUCGAGGGCGAAGUCUGGUUCUAGUGGGGGAGAAUUGCAACAUCCCAAAAUUCAGGUAAAUCUAUUUAACCCUUCUCUUUUGUCAAGUUGUCAAGUUUAGCCCUUGAGUGAAUUUUGUGGCAAUUGAGUACGCUAGGUGUACUGGGGAGUACGCUGCGUGUACUCAUGCGCUUAAUUUGGACGUCGACUCGCCUAGGUACGGUGGGCGUACCCAGGGUUACGCUGGGCGUAGAGGGCCCAGAUGCAAACGCUAAUAUUUGGCUUGUGCACUAUAUAAGGGAUGCUAAGGCUUAUUCCUCAACCACCAUAUCAUAGAGUGAAACCCUAAGAGAGCCUUCCUUCGUCCUUAAGCUUGUGUGUGAGUGUUUUGAGCUAAAAGUGCCUUGGUGUGUUAGUGAAGAAGAAGGAGAGGAGGUUGUGGAGGCUAGGGCUUGAAGUGCAAGUUUGGAUAUGAGAUCUUCAGAGGAAGGAGCUUCAUCUAGAGGUAUAAAGUUCAAAACUUUCCACUUUAUUUUGGUUUGGUGUUGCAUGGACCAUUUCUAGGGUUAAAAGUCCCAAAGGUGGAGACUUUAUGAGUGUAAGAGACUCCAUGGACCUAGAUCUGUCCCAUUUCAGUGAUAUUUGUGUUAAAGAUCCAUAAAAAUCCCAACUUGGUCAUUGUUAUGGGGUCAUGCUUGAGUUAUGAGCUUUUAUAGGGUUGGAAAUAGAAUGUUAUGGGUGUUAGUGACUUGUCCAGCCAUGCAAAGGCUUAAAGUCACCAACUUUAUGGAUUAAGAGGCUUAGAAAUGGUCAGAUCUAGAAGUUGGACGUGUGUCUUAACUGUUUAAGACCCCAAUAGCUAAGGAGUCUGAAAUCGGGAGUUACGCGGGGCGUAAUCCCUGUACGCGCGGCGUAGGGGGUCGCGUUCCCGUUUAAAUGAGGUCACCAGGUACGCCCAGCGUACAGGUUUGGUACGCGCAACGUAACCCGAAGAGUUGACUUUUGUUGACUUUUAGGGUUUGAUCAACUUUAGGGUCUUUGAGCCAUGAGAGGGGUAAAAUGGUCUUUUACCCUUAUGAGGGUGCUAAGAAAGGGAAUAGUCCAGCCUUGAGAGUGGUAUUAAUUAUAGUGCUUAUUCCAUGUGAUUAGGCGGAGGCUAGACCGAGUUUUACCGAGUUCGAGAUUAUCGAGUCACCCGAGGUGAGUCUUCUCACUAUACUGUACCUAGAAAGGUACCUAUGUGUGACCGGAAGGUCUUAUAUGCUAUGAGAUAUAUGUGAUAUAUGCUGAUAUGUGAUAUGUAUGUGUUAUGUAUGCUAUGUAUGAUAAUGACCGGAAGGUCAAGAUGAUAUGGACCGGAAGGUCGAGAGGACAUGGACCGGAAGGUCAGGAGGUUACGGACCGGAAGGUCGAUAUGGGUAGGACCGGAAGGUCUACCGAGAUUUGGGACGGAAGUCCCCCGAGACACUUGGACCGGAGGGUCACACAGAGUUAUGGCCUAGAAAGGUGUAUGUGUUGUAUGUGGUACUUUGGGGAACUCACUAAACAUUUAUGCAUACAGUGUUGUGUUAUGUGUUUCAGGUACUAGUGAGGAUCGCGGGAAGAAGUCGACAUGAUCCGCACACACUGAGAGGAUUUAUGUAUUUGAGAUCUUUUGAGAUUCUGAGAUUUGUUUAUUAUGAUGACAUUGGAUACAGUUGUUGGAUAUUGUUUUUGGUGAUUGAAAAUAUGAUUUAAAAAUGAAAAUUUGUUUUGAAAAAUUUGUCGUUACAAGAGUUUUCCCAGAAACAUAAAGAAAUCAUGAGGAGUUGUAUGAUCAGCCUUCGCCUUGCUGCGAUCCGCUGAUGUAACUGAAACAAUAAACUGAAACUGUAAGCCCGAAAGCUUAGUGAGUUCCCCCAAAAUACCAACGCCAUACAAAUAUAACCACUUCAUAUAACAAACACAGAAUAGCAUGCAUAAUGAGCCUUCAGCCUGACUGGACUGCCUCGCAAGGCCUACAGCCUAUCUGGACCGCUCCCGAGCCUUCUGCAUGACUGGAUCGCCUCACAUGGCCUACAGCCUAUCCGGACCGCUCACCGGGUAUGUUGGCCUACAACACAAAGCAGGACCGCCUCAACCCAACCCCCACUCAAACAAACAAGUGCACAUAAAUAUCAUACGCUAGCUCAUAUCAUAUAACAGUCAAACUGAUCUAACAUAUCACUAUUCAUAGCAACAUCCCAAUAACCGGGAUACAGACCUAACCAGUCACUAACAUAACAUCAUCCUAUAACCAAGACACUGACCUAACCAGGUCACUAAGCAUAAGCAUACCACAUCCUAACUACCAGGAUGUAAUCAAUAAACAUAUCAUGCCAUAAUCCAAAUACAAAUAUAUAAAGGGUCGGCCUUGGUGCCUUAAACCCAUUGGUAUAGUGAGGAUAACUCACCUCGCACUGUCGACUCAAAGAUAAACUCAAGCUCUUGGAGUGCCGGUACAACUCCACUACCUAAAUGCACCAUAGAACCAUGCUUGUAAAUUUCCAACUUCCCAAAAUGUCCCAAAAGUCCAAAAGUCAACCCUUGGUCAAGGUCCAAGUCAACUGUCAAAGUCAACAAUCCAUGUUGACCUCGACUCGUCGAGUACAGCCAACCACUCGCCAAGUUACUUGCAUACUCACCAAUUCGCCGAGUCACUUGAGUGACUCGUCGAGUUCCUAGUGUCAGUGGUCGUAACUCCUUGGCCAACUCGGCGAGUUUUUCCCGUACAAAUCCCCGUGUUCAUACAUGUCCAAAGGUUGGGAAAACCCUAGCCGACUCACCGAGUCAUCGGUUGACUCGCCGAGCCCAAGGCAAUCUUCAUCAGACUCGCCGAGUCGUUCAUCCGACUCGCCGAGUCCAUUAAGUCCUUCAUCCAUACAGAGGCUUUUUAAACCAUACAAAGGCUCCAUAUUUUAGAUCCAGUCCCCCAAGGCAUGUUUAUCACGUAAAGUUGCAAACUUUACGUGCAUGCAAGGCCCUAAAGUCUUAAAAUGACAAACUAAGCUUGCAAUGGAGGUUUUGCACUUAAGGAGAGUCUCAUCUUUGUAAAAGUUGGAAGCUUUAUGGACUUAGAGAACCAAGAGAGUUCAAAUCUGAAGCUAAAACUUUAGAUCUUAGCUUAUACACAAGCAAAGCUUCCAAACAUACUAGGAAAGCCCUAAAAUCCACCCAAAAGAGAUCUAGAAUGAAAUGAGCCAAGGUAACAACCUAAUACCUUCAAAAAGGGUGUCUACUGGAGUAGAUCUUUGCUUCCCAUGAGUUUCCUUGCUUCAAUUUACUUGUUUCCCAAAUGUUUCUUCACUAAGAUUCCUCUUCUAAGCUUCAACCCACCAAAGAAACACACACACACGAUUUAGGGUUUAAGGGUGCCAAGAAGCUGUAAAGGGGAGGCUGGGGAAGGCCAAUGAUCCUUUAAAUAGGAUGUAAGACCCUGGAAUUUAGGGUUUCAUCUGCCAGCUCCUACUCGUCGAUUCCCCUCUUGGACUCGACGAGUAGGUCACUAAAUCACGCGGACCAACCCACUGCUACUCGACGAUUAGGGCAACCAACUCGUCGAGUAGACCUUGAAAACAAGAAAAUUAUUAUAGAAUCAAUACCUGAGAAUCGGGGCGUUAAAAUUCUCCCCCACUUGAACUAGACUUCGUCCUCGAAGUCUGUCGUGGCGAACAACUCCGGAUAGUGCUCCUGCAUCUCUGCCUCUGGCUCCCAUGUCCACUCGGACCCCCUCCGAUGCUCCCACUGAACCUUCACCAGAGGUAUCUCCAUGUUCCGCAGAACUUUCAUCUUCCUCUCCAGAAUGGCCACAAGCCUCUCAAUGUAAUUCAGGCGCUCAUCAGCUUGAAUAUCUUACAACGACACCACUGCCUCCGGAUCCAUAAUGCACUUCCGCAACUGCGAAACAUGGAAAGUGUUGUGGAUCCGACAAAGCCCCUCUGGUAGCUCUAACCUGUAAGCCACCUUGCCAACCCUGGAAAUGAUCCUGAACGGCCCAAUGUAAUGGGGACCCAAUUUCUCCAUAUUCCUGAAGCGGAUCACACCCUUCCAGGGUGAGACCUUCAGGAGUACCAUAUCACCCACCUGAAAUUCUAACUCAGAUCGUCUUCUGUCGGCGUAACUCUUCUGCCGACUCUGGGCGGUCUGCAAUCGCUGCCUAAUCUGCUGAAUCUUCUCGGUAGUCUGCAAGACUACUUCUGUCCGCCCCAUCACCAUGUGUCCAACCUCACCCGAACAAACCGAGGUGCAACAUCUCCGCCCAUACAACAGCUCGAAAGGCGGGGCGCCAAUGCUGGAAUGAUAGUUGUUGUUGUAAGCGAACUCUACAAGCGGUAGGUGGGAAUCCCAACUCCCACCGAAGUCAAUGACACAUGCCCUCAAUGUCACACCCCAAAACCGGAACUGCGGAAACGUUCAGGGGUAGAGGACUUCAUGUCAAGUAUCACGAGAUAUGUAUAGGGUAAGCAAGUAAUGACCAACCAUUUCAUUUAGAAAGAAAGUGUUUACAAUGUGUGUGUUCACAAAACAUAGAAGUCAUAAACAAAUAACAAAACAUGACUUGAAGUUGUAAAGCUCCAUCUUCUGAAGUCCCAGCACGAGCACCUGUCUAAUAGUCUCCUGAGAAUACAAGUUAUUUGAAAGAGUUGAUCAGCAAUUAAGCUGGUGAGUUCAUAAGAUUUUAGUGAUAUGAGUAAGCUAUAAAAUGUGGUUGAAAAUGUAUAUGCACAAGUGAUGUAAGUGGUAAGUUCUGUUUUGAAAUGUUCGCCUGUUCCUCUAGAAAAUCCUAUAUUUCCUACUUUAAUGGAAGUUAAGUAAAAUGACACUACAAGCCUUUCUAUGCGUACUAAGUGGGUACAAGUUAUAUAUAAUUAGAGUAAAUAAACAAUCGAUUGUGCGCAUCUGCCCUAAACUCACAACCUAAUGGGGAACAACAAGUAAGGUGGAUAGCACACAUUCCAUUGGUUGUUAGAUCAUUGUCAUACAUAACCUUGGUGUAUUCCCUUGUUACUCAUGGAGUUAUUUGUAAUGGUUCCUUUAUAUCUAAUGGAGAGUUCUUUUAAGAAAACCUAUAUUUCUUAUAGUAAAAUAAUGACUACGGUGAUUACUUUUAUAAUAGCUUUGUUUAUAUUGCUAUAUAUAAUCUGAUAUCGGGUAGAAAGUUAAUUGGGUGAAUCUGCCCUAAGCCCACAAUCCAACAGGAACAAGACGUCGGGGGGAAAACACACAUUUAGCUAUCUAUUGGAUAUUAGUUUUAUAUAUAAACAUGGUGUAUAAACUAAGGUGUUAUAGAGUUAACUCACCUAAAGUCUCUAAAACUGUACUGGCUUAAUAAAAUGGAUUAAGCCCUUUUCUAGGAAAUCUCUAGUUUUGUAUACCAAAAAUACUGACUUUGAUAAGUAAGUUUUGUACUAGAAUAACUGUGCGUUGACUUUGUGUCCUAUGACCUGAUCCAUACCUGGUACCCUUAUGAUGACUUAAUGUAUACUAAGCAUAGAUAUAUAUAGAUUCGGGUAGAUAAUAGAUUGGGUGACCUCAAUGCAAGCCCACAUCCAACGGGAACAGGAAUUGCAGCAAAGAGCACACAUCCUAUUAGUUGUCGGAAUCUACUAGCAUAUAUGUAUCCUAUAGGGUAUACAUUAUGGAAUCAUAAAGUUAGCAUCAUGAUCCUAACCUUUAAUCGUAGCCUUCUACCAAGGCAUCUUCUGUUUUGAGUUAAACCCGACUGUUCCUUUGUCAAAUGUAGAAGUAUAUUCUCCCUACUUUAUAACUAUCUUGACUAGAAAAUAGAUCAACUUUCAAGUGGUACCGACACUUUAUGAAAGUAAUGGGAGAAGUAAGUACACAUAUGUCGUUUAUAAUGACCUGCGGAUGUACUAAUAACCUAAAAACAUAUUUGUUUUAUUACGGUCAUAAUGUGAAAGCUAGAACCCUUACUAAACGCUCUUAAUGUAAAGAGAUUGAGGGAACCAAACGCGACCCCAACAAUUUCUUACAAGCUGUGUAAUUCACAUUAAAUUUAUAUGAUCAUGUAUACCCAAUAUAACUAUCACUAAUGCGUUAGUGAUUCAUUAGUAUAAUUAGAUCCUGUUUGUGUGUUCUCAUGCUAUAGCAACCUAACUUGUUUGUUAUGUUCUGUUCUGGUAUUGUUUGAUUCUCUUCACUAUUUGUUCUGUUAUGGUAUUGUUUGAUUCUCUUCACUGUUUGUUCUGUUGUGGUAUUGUUUCUUUGUGUGCUUCACUGUACUAGAAGUAAUGAAUAACAUUCUCCUAAACUAUACCUAUAAUAGUUUACUAAUGCUCUACUUGGACUGUUACUGAAAUGACUCAUUUCUCUACUAAGUUAUGCUUUUACUUUAAUAACGAAGUUUUGUAUAACAAUAAAGUAACAUAACCUUAAACGAGUUUUGAAAUGUGUUGACAAAUUAUAAAUAACAUAAGUAACAUUUUGAAGUAUGUUUAACAACAAACAUUUACACAAUUAUCAUUGUGUUCAACCUGUAUUCCCCCCCCCCCUUAAAACAGUUAAAAUAGUUAAAUGAUUCAUUACGGGGUAUGAACUCACCUGUUGUGGGUGAUUCAAACGGGUAUGCGUGUAAGGAUGAGAAGUUCCACGAAUGAAGUCCCGAGACACAAUAAGUCCUAAAUGAUAUAUAAUGACACACAUCGGCAUGAAUAUAGUGUUUAUAACAACUAUAUGAAAGGAAACACCUUCAGGGACUAGGAAACACCUUGACCAAGUGUUGGAAUCACAUGUGAUUCAACAAAGGAAGGUAGAAUGGCACUCACAUGAGUUUACUACCAUGGGUUUAUAGCCCAAGGGAGUUUACGGCCGUAAACUCAUGGUUACUCAUGUAUGAAGGCAAGUUUGAAGGCUAGGGAAUGAUUUAGGGACCUUAACUCUACCCUAGGAUGAGGAAGACCACCUUCUUUGGAGUUGUUGAGGUGUUUACGGCCCAAAUGAGUUUACAACCGUAAAAUCAUGGCCAUUUAUGUUUAUGAGGGUCCUAAAGGUCAUAAUGAAGCAUCCUAAAUUCAAGUCUAAGCCUUAGGAAGUGUUUGUGGCAUCAAAACACCCUUAACUUGAGUUUUCGGCCAUUCGACCAUUUUGGCUUGUGUUUGCGGCCGUAAUCACCUAUGGGUGAUGGUAUUUUGAUUGUUUUGAGUCCUAAACACAUCAAGGUAAAGUGCUAGGCUAGCCUCUUGGCUUAAGGAAGGCAUUUGGGGCAUUUUGGCACCAUGAAAGGGAGUUCACGGCCCAAGAACAUCCUUGGCCGUGAACUCUCUUCUAACCCUUGUUUCUUAGUGUUUUUAAGGCCUAUAUAUGUCAAGGGUUGUUCUAUGUUCGGUUCCAAGGUCUAUAGGGGCAUAAGGCACACUUUUGGCCUCAAAUUUAGUGUUCACGGUCCAAGAGGAUCUUGGGCCAUGAACACCCUUUCCUUGGGUUUUAUGGAUGAUUUCCAUGUUAUCUAGUCAUGUAGUACCCUUUUAAUACACUCUAGGGUCGAUGUACUUACAAUUGGGGGUGAACGGAUGAAGAUCCUUGAGAGAGAAAUCGACUUUUCUCUAGUUGGAAAUGUAAGAAAUGAAUAAAUAUGGCUAAGAACCAUAUAUAUACCCCUAGGGUUUUUGGCAGAAAAUAUUUUAUUCAGGCAUUGAACUCUAAUAUCAAUGAGUUUUUGAAAAACAGAGUUGCACAAUACCCUAGUGCAUCCUCUCUCCUGAUAUCCCUUUAAGUGUAAAUCCUGAAAUACUCAAACUUAUCCCAAAAGUUUGAAAGUUAGCAGAACGGAUUUGACUUCGAUUGCUAUGGAUGGUUUUACAGAAUGGAAAUUUUUGGGUUGUCACACUCAACAUAUCCUCGCGGGUCUGAAUGGUCCGCUCGCUCUGACUGUCGGUCUAUGGAUGGAACGUCGUGCUAAAAUGCAACCGCGUGGCGAGACAUGAUGGAGACCGGAACCCCAUGGCGAGACACGAUCACGCAAACGUACAUGUCGGCCAACCUCCCGGCUGACAAACUCUCCCAAAUAGCCAAGAAAUAGCCACUCUUGGUCAAUCGAUCAACGAUGACCUAUAUAACAUCAAAUCCCUUCGCCGUCCUCGGUAACUUUGUAAUGAAGUGUGACAACUAUCAAAUUCUGGUCAAGUCAAAGUCAAACAAAGUCAACAAGUCAAACCGGUCAACUCCGUUAACCCUGGUAUACUAGGGUUUACGUUAUGUAUUUACUGUACAACUCACUAUUUUAAUGAGAAAUCAUCAUUUGGAAAGUUCGUGUAUCUACAUUUCUUUAACCUAAAACUGUGGUAAGUAAUGAACUAAAGCGAUAAAACACUAUUGCAUACUCAUCGGGCGUGUGUAAGAUCCUUGAACAUGGCUUAACGGGGUUUACGGGCAUUGCGUUGCGAAGCCGGACACUAAAAAAGGUCACAAAAGAAGUCUCUCCCAAUCUCUUUCACUCUAUCUCUCUCUAUUAAAAAUCUCUCCCAAAUCUCUCUCAGAAGUUCCUAUAACUUUUUGAAAUCAUUCGGGUCAUCCCCACCCUUAACCGGGUCAAAAACCACUUAAAACAGACUAAUUAUUGGAAAAACAGCCUUUAGAACCGAAGCCUCUCAAUUAAGAACCAAAACCAUAGGGACCGAAGGUGCUAAGGACCGAACCCGAAACUGCCUGUGUUGGACCGAACCCGAAGCUGCCUGCGAGCUAAACCCGAAGGUCCCUUCGGACCAAACCUCCCCUUCCCCUUCGCUCCAUUUCGCCUUCGGGCCCAACAACAGUAGGGACUGAACCAAGGCCCAGUACCGAGAACUCUCGCAGAUAGGCCAAAUUCACUUGGUUUUCGACUACGACUUCAUUUUAGGCCCGUUUUACAUGAUUUUAUCACGGGAUUUUCACCCGAAAUCACAUUUUAACAUAUAGAACCCGAUACUUCAUAAUUAAUCACGUUUUUGGGGUAUAAUCCUUAUCCAAGAAGAGUGGGUGGGAUAUUAUUGGUGGAGUGUUGACUUUACUUUAGAGUAUGACACAAGCAACCACCCAUUCCCACUCCAUGACCAACCCUUGUCCUUCCACCAUACCUAGUCCUUUGAUUGUACUCCUUCCAUCAUUUUUCCAGCCACAUCCUUGAUCAAAGGCUGGAAAACUCCCCUUUCUCCUCACAUUUCUCUCAUUUUUCCACCAAAGAACAAACUCCAUUCUCUCUCACUUUCUCUCUCUAAAUUUUGAGAUUCAAGGCUAUUCUCCAAACUUUUCUUCUACUUUUGGUAAGUAUUAUCAUCCUCCAUAUGAUCAUUUCACUCCUUUCUACUCAAAUCAUAGAUUUCUUACACAAACUCGUUCAUAUUUGUGUUAGAUCUUCAAAUCUUCAAGGCAUCUUCUAAGUGUUCUUGAGUUGAACACUUCUUUUAUUCGACAUACAUCCACUGAAAUCACACAAGGUGAGUUCAUACCCCUACAUUUUCAUGUUUUCUUCAAGUUUCAUGGGGGAAUGCAAGUUAAAUCACCAUAAUAUAACUUAAACUCUAUCAUCAGCUUUCAACAGGAAAGUUGAGUCCCAUUAACGGACUAUUUUGACCUUCAUAAACUUUUUAUUUUCCAAAACUGUUUAAUAUGCAAAUAGUUUAGGUUAAUACCUUUAAAAUGACUACUUGCGCAUCUCCACACUAUUUUUCUACAAUUUAUGGCGAUUUUUACAAAACAUCCUAUCAUUUUAGAAACCACUUCAGACCAGUCUGUGAAGUUGGACAUUUUUACACAAGUUAAAGGUCACUAAAAAUCAUGAUAAAAAUUAUGAAUAAAAUAGACAUAUUUUAUAAGCUCUCAGAAUUUACGGAUUCUGAUUUCGACUUCAAAUGAUUUUUCUAUGAUUUUUGUAAGAACAUAAACAACAAGGUUAAAACUAGAAAAUGGUAAACAAUUUCAUUUGCACCUUGUAGCUUGUUGAGCAAGGUGUGUUUUAUUAUAUAUAUAUAUAUAUACUAGGAAGGAUAAUUUGAGAAAUCAAAGUUUCCCGAGAACCCAAAAACUAAAGGUGGAACGUUGGAUNUUACAAAUAAUAUUAAUAAAUUAUAAUAGGUAUAGUUAGGUUGCAUAUGCAUUACAAACAUUAUGAUAAACUAUAAUAGGUAUAGUUUAUGUUACAAUUACAUUUCAAACUCAUUACGAAAGGUUUUCUUUUCAUAUAAAUGGGGUACAAAUACAAAGUACCGGGUCUAUACAAAGGGGUACAUUACAAAGUAUCGAGUUUUCAUAUAAAAGGGGUACAAAUACAAAGUAUCGAGUCUAUACAAAGGGGUACAUUACAAAGUACCGGGUUUUCAUAUAAAAGGGGUACAAAUACAAAGUAUUGGGUCUAUACAAAGGGGUACAUUACAAAGUAUCGGGUUUUCAUAUAAAAGGGGUACAAAUACAAAGUAUCGGGUCUAUACAAAGGGGUACAUUACAAAGUACCGGGUUUUCAUAACUAAAGGGGUACAUUACAAAGUACCGGGUUUACACAAAAUGGUUUUAUGAUAUUAGAACUACAAUCCAUCUUGAAUUUGUUAGUUUUCUGGUUAUAAUUGCUAAGUGUAUAUGUUAGCGUUAUAUAAGAAUUUAGCUGUGAUCGACUUAGAAUUGGUGGGCCCGCUUUACUUCUCGUUCCUUGUUUGGUUGUGGACCUAGGGCAGACCCAUUAUAUUCGACGGUUUAUCUAACUUAAAUUUUAUAUAACUUAUAUACCGUGGGUGAUUAUAGAGGAAAUCUAUAGGUCCUUCUAGGGUACAUUAUUGCAUAACAUAGGAGUUUUCCUUACACAUUUUAUAAAGAAAAUAUUGGAUUUUCUGGAAUCAUACUCAUUCACUUUUACAAGGAAAAUGACAUCUUUAUCAAAUAAAACUCUUAUGAACUCACCAACUUAAUUGUUGACACUUUUUCAAAACUACUUGUAUUCUCAGGGAAUCAGUAAAACAGGAAAUCAGCGGCUUUUGAGGAUGGAACGCUUAGACGUUAAACAUUUCAUUUUUGUCAACAUAAUGUAAUUGAUUUAGAAACAUGUAAACUCAUACUAUGGUGUAACUUUUUCAAUUAUAUUUAUGUUGGUUGUUUUUACUUUGAGCACUAUUAUACUCGUUGUUGUGAUAUUAUACAUGAAGUCCUCCACCCUCGGACGUUUCCGCCAUCUUUGGUUUGGGGGUGUGACAUGAAGUCUAUCGUGAUCUGUUCCCAUUUCCACAUGGGAAUCUCUAGAGGCUGUAGCAUACCAUUCGGCCUCUGAUGCUCGGCCUUGACCAUCCUGCAGGUCAAACACCUAUCGACAUACCAAGCGAUUUCUCGCUUCAUACAUGGCCACCAGUAACUCAAACUCAAGUCUCGGUACAUCUUGGUGGUCCCGGGUGAAUACAGAAGUGAGACUUAUGAGCCUCCUCCAUGACUGUUUGUCUGACCCCACCAGACAUCGGAACCCACACCCGACCGCAUCGGGUCAAUAAUCCCCGACUAUCCUCCACAAACCAGGUGUUCUCACCCUUGAUCCUCUCCAACUUCCAGUUCUCCGGUCGCAUGCCCUCAACCUGAGGACCCCUGAUCAAGCUCAUAAGCGUUAAAUCCACCGUUAUCCUCAUACAACACUACUAGGGUGGAAGACCCAGUUGCCUUGCGGCUCAAAGCAUCCGCCACCACGUUCGCUUAACUGGGGUGGUAAAGGAUCUCGCAGUCGUAGUCCUUGACUAAAUCCAGCCACCUAUGCUGUCUCAUGUUCAUGUUCGGCUAAUCCAUGAUGUUUCUCAAACUCUUGUGAUCCGUAUAUAUGGUACAACGAACCCCAUAUAAGUAAUGUCUCCAUAUCUUGAGAGCGAACACCACCGCUCCUAGCUCUAGAUCAUGAGUAUGAUAUCUCGUCUCAUGCGACUUCAGCUGUCGCGAUGCGUAGGCUAUCACUCGUCCUCUCUGCAUGAGGACCGCCCCUAAACCCGUGAUGGAUGCAUCGCAGAACACCACAAAAUCCUCCACUCCCUCUGGGAGUGUCAAGAACGGAGCCUCGCACAAACAUUGACGGAGAGUCUUAAAUGCCCUAUGUUGAUCCGGUUCCCACCGGAAAUCCACUCCCUUCCUCGUCAGACGAGUGAGGGGUACUGCAAUCUUAGAGAAAUCCCGAAUAAACCUUUGGUAGUAUCCUGCUAAACCCAGAAAGCUCCUGAUGUCCGAAGGAUACCUCAGCACCUCCCACUGCAUGACUUCCUCGUUUUUAGCUGGGUCGACCAAAAUCCACUCCUGGUUAACGAGAUGUCCGAGGAACUGGACCUCUCGCAACCAAAAUCACACUUCGAGAACUUAGCAUACAACCGUUCUCGUCUCAGAACUCCCAACUAGGGGUGUAAGUGAGUCGAGCUACUCGCGAGCUACUCGGGAUCGACUCGUUAAAAGCUCGACUCGAGAUCGAAUUAAACGAGCCCGAGCCGAGCUCGAGCCCAAAUAUGAGGCUCGUUUAUUAAACGAGCUNNNNNNNNNNNNNNNNNNNNNNNNNNNNNNNNNNNNNNNNNNNNNNNNNNNNNNNNNNNNNNNNNNNNNNNNNNNNNNNNNNNNNNNNNNNNNNNNNNNNNNNNNNNNNNNNNNNNNNNNNNNNNNNNNNNNNNNNNNNNNNNNNNNNNNNNNNNNNNNNNNNNNNNNNNNNNNNNNNNNNNNNNNNNNNNNNNNNNNNNNAUAUAUAUAUAUAUAUAUAGGCUCGUUUAAGCUCGUUUAGGCUCGCAAGCUCACUAAAUUGUUCACGAGCCGAGCUCGAGCUCAAGCUUCUUCAAAUUAAACGAGCCGAGCUCGAGCUUGGUUUACACCCCUACUCCCAACAACUCCCCGAGGUGCUCCUCGUGCUGCUAUCGGGUCUUGGAAUACACCAAGAUAUCAUCUAUGAACACAAUGAACGAGCGAUCAAGCAUCGGUCUAUAGACCCGAUUCAUCAGGUCCAUGAAUACUGCUGGUGCGUUGGUGAGCCCAAAUGGCAUCACCACGAGCUCGUAAGGACCAUAAAUAGUUCGAAACACGGUCUUCUCGAUGUCCUCCUCUCUGACCCGGACCUGAUCAUAUCUCGACCUCAAAUCAAUCUUGGAGAACCAAGAUGCACCCUGCAACUGAUCGAAGAGAUAAUCUAUCAUAGGAAAUGGAUAGCGGUUCUUCACCGUCAACUUGUUCAACUCCCUAUAAUCAAUGCAUAUCCGGUGUGAACCGUCUUUCUUCCUGAAGAAGAGGAUCGGUGCUCCCCAUGGAUAACUGCUAGGUCGAAUGAACUGCUUGCUCAACAGUUCCUACAGCUGUGAAGACAACUCCUGCAUCUCGGGUGGCGCCAACCGGUACGACGCCUUGGCGAUAAGAACCGCACCCGGUACCAGAUCGAUCCGGAACUCGACCUUCCUCUCCGGAGGUAUCCCUGGCAACUCCUCCGGGAACACGUCAACAAACUCCCAACCACUGGAACCUCUGAAACUGAAAUCUGAUCCCUAACACGUGUAUCCACCACUUACGCUAGAUAACAUGCACACCCGUGCUGAAUACACUGCCGAACCCUGACAGCUGAACAAAAUCCUGAUCCCACUCUAGUGCCCUCACCAUAUACCACCAGUUCUCCCCCACUUGGGGUUCAAACUACCACCAACUCGCCCUCACAGUCAAUCAUAGCACCGAACCGACUGAGCCAAUCCAUGCCUACGAUCACACACACCUCCCCCAUGGGGAUCAGAUUCAAAUCUAUCAGAAAGGACACCCCGGAAAUCUCCAACUCUCACCCUAGGUAGAUCGAAGAAGCAGAAACCCCGUGUUUGUUAGUGAUAGAGACUCGCAACGGAUACUCUAACUCGCCCACUGGCACACUGAACUCCUUACUAAACGACUGAGAUAUGAAGGACCGACUCGCCCCCGAGUCAAAUAAAACCAAAGCAGGCAAAGAGUUCACUAAAAACGUACCUAAUCACAGGUAAAACAGAUUAACAUAAUACAAUUAUAAUAAAUGAAAUAAAGGAGAGAAACAUACCAUCAACCACAUCUGGUGCUGCCCUGGCCUCAUCUGCGGUCAGCUGGAAGGCAUGCCCCUGAGCCUUCGAAGGCUCUGUCUUGACUGGCCUCCCAUCCAUUAUCCUAAAUGUAGUCGGCACUGGAGCCUGCGCCGGUCUGGCUGCGAGAUGUGGACAGUUGGUCUUCACGUGACCAACCUGAUGACAGUGAUAACAUAUCCUCAUAUCAUAUGCAAGGGCUGACUGGCGACAAUCCCUAGCAUAGUGCCCCUCAUUGCCACACUUGUGGCAUCCACUACCCGUCCGACAAACUUUGGAAUGACUAUUGCCGCACUUUCCACAAGUACGACUAUGUUGUCCCCCGGUCGUAGAAUUAGCGAUCUUAUAUCGCUUAGGCGCCGACUUCAACUGCGUCGGGGCCUACCGCUGCUCCCUCACCUGCCGCUCAAUCUCUAACUCACGCCGCCUAGCGGCUUCCUGUAACUCCAAAAGAGUAUCACAUCGCUAGGUAGACACAAACUGACGGAUGUCAGUCUUGAGCAUGCUCAAACAAUGAGUCAUCUGAGCAUGCUCAGAAGCAAACUCUGGGCAGAACAUCACCCUCUCUAUGAACAUGCGAGUGAUCUCCGUCACCGACCCCCUCCUGUCUCAAACUCAAAAACUCUUGUGACAAACGUUCCCGCUCGACCCGUGGAAUGUAUCGGGCGCAGAACAUAUCCCUGAACUGCUCCAAGUGACAGCAGGUCUUUGAUCAUCAGUGUACGGCCCAGUCACCAAUCUCCACUAGUCCUUGGCCCCGGAUCUUAGCAGGUUCAGGGCACACAUGACCUUAUGGUCAGUAGGACACGAGUAGGUAAAUAAACACCCCUCCACAUCUGAAAUCCACCUCAUAGCCUUGAUGGGGUCCUGUGUCCCAUCAAAAGUAGAGGGAUUCGUGUUAUCAAAGUCCUUGUACUGGAAGCCCCUAGUGGCUCCUCCUCCCCCUGCCGCUGUUACAGCCGAUGCAACUACAACGACAACCAUCUCCGCAAGGGUUGCGUAUCGCUCGUCAAAGUACUCGACCAUGGCGGUCUUAAUAGACCCAAACAUAUCCGGCAGUUGUGCCCAGAAUGCAGCAACAACCUCAUCAUGCAGGAUCUCCCAAAUCCUGACAUCUAACUCCUCUGUACCCAUCUGCACCAUGGGCUCAGGUGUUGUUGGCCCCUCCUGGCCUCCGUCUCUUAAUCCUGAUCCUGAACCGGAUACAGUUACAAAGCGUCUCGUCAUCACCAUUCUGAAACAUACCACAAGAUAUCAGAUAAUCCACAUAAAUACCUGGGAACCAACCCCCGACUAAAACCUAGGGGUUGUGACUUCCUUGAUACGUGUAUGGGUCCUGUACUUUCAGUAGUACGGGCCCAUACUAUCUUCCACACCUACCCAUAUUUGUCUCAAGUAUCACCACAACACCCUAACAAUAUACAUAAGCAUAGCGAGCGCUCAAUCCUCACUCCUAGAGGAAGUCUAACUGAAUCACAACUGACCUACCGGCCUCACAUAACCCACCCAUUCAUGAAACUUCCACAAACCCUGCAACAUUAGUGUAUGCUAAUCAUACAUAACGCUAGACCCUAUAGACUUUCGAAUAUCCGACCCUACCCUAAGCCCUAAUCAAUAAGAGCAGAACAUAAGGUCAAAUCAAACAUUCUCGGGCUAUAAGAUCUUAAUUAUGUACAAUCGUGAUACAUACACAAGUAACUACAGUCAUGAUGUCAAUCUCAUGUAAAGAAACCCUAUGCUAGCAGGCAUCACGUAAUCAUGCAAUUCUAUCAUGUAAUUCCUGAGGAUCCCUAGCCGAGUACUAGCAUGUUGUUCUAUCAUAUCAUAAUAUCAAAUAAUUGUAUGGUAUUUUGGGGUCAACUUACAGGCUUUGGUUGAUCGUACACCUUGCAUGCUUUCUUACUUAUUUUGAAAAACAUUUUAAAAAAAUAUCAUUUUAAAUCUUUCCUUUGAUUUGAGACUGGAGUCACACGAGUGUUCCUCCAAUUCACUCAAACCAAGGCUUUCAUACCAACAUGUAACACCCAAAAAUUUCAUGCCAAAUUAAAACUUUUUCAAAACAUUUAAAACCAUUUAUUAUUACAAAGUUUGUUUUCAAAAUAUCUAAUAUCAAAGUUUUCCCAGAAACAUAAACAAAUCAUGAGGAGCUGUACGAUCAUGCCUUCGCCUUGCCGCGAUCCCUGAUGUACUUGAAACAAUAAACUAAAACUAUAAGCCCAAAAUCUUAGUGAGUUCCCCCAAAAUACCAACGCCAUACAAAUAUAACCACUUCAUAUAACAAACACAGAAAAACAUGCAUAAUGAGCAUCCAGCAUGACUGGACCGCCUCGCAUGGCCUACAACCUAUCUGGACCGCUCCCGAGCCUUCGACAUGACUGGACCGCCUCACAAGGCAUACAGCCUAUCCCAACCGCUCACCGGGUAUGUUGGCCUACAACACAAAGCAGGACCGCCUCAACCCAACCCCCAAUCAAACAAACAACUGCACAUAAAUAUCAUAUGCUAGCUCAUAUCAUAUAACAGUCAAACCGAUCUAACAUAUCACUAUUCAUAACAACAUCCCAAUAAUCGGGAUACAGACCUAACCGGUCACUAACAUAGCAUCAUCCUAUAACCAAGACACUGACCUAACCAGGUCACUAAGCAUAAGCAUACCACCAUCCUAACUACCAGGAUGUAAUCAAUAAACAUAUCAUGCCUUAAUCCAAAUACAAAUAUACAAAGGGCCGACAUUGGUGCCUUAGACCUAUUGGUAUAGUGAGGAUAACUCACCUUGCACUUUCGACUCGAAGAUAAACUCAAGCUCUUGGAUUGCCGGUACAACUCCACCACCUAAAUGCACCAUAUUGUAGAUCCAGUCCCCCAAUGCAUGUUUAUCACGUAAAGUUGCAAUGGAGGUUUUGCACUUAAGGAGAGUCUCGUCUUUGUAGAAGUUGGAAACUUUAUGGACUUAAAGAACCAAGAGAGUUCCAAUUUGAAGUUACAACUUCAGAUCUUAGCUUAUACACAAGCAAAGCUUCCAAACACACUAGGAAAACCCUAAAAUCCACCCAAAAGAGAUCUAGAAUGAAAUGAGCCAAGGUAACAACCUAAUACCUUCAAAAAGGGUGUCCACUAGAGUAGAUCUCUGCUUCCCACGAGUUUCCUUGCUUCAGUUUACUUAUUUCCCAAAUGUUUCUUCACCAAGAUUCAUCUUUUAAGCUUCAACACACCAAAGAAACACACACACACACACGAUUUAGGGUUUAAGGGUGCCAAGAAGCUGUAAAGGGGAGGCUGGGUGAGGCCAAUGAUCCUUUUAAUAGGGUGCAAGACCCCGUAAUUUAGGGUUUCAUCUGCCAACUCCUACUCGUCGAGUCCCCUCUUUGACUCGGCGAGUAAGUCACUAAAUCACGCGGACCAACCCGCUGCUACUCGACGAGUAGGGCAACCAACUCGUCGAGUAGACCUUGAAAACAAGAAAAUUCUUAUAAAAUCAAUACUUGAGAAUCGAGGCGUUACAAUGAAACAUAAAGGUUGAAACUUGAAGACUCAUAAUGGUCUAGAAAAUGAGCUAGAAAGUGGAGGAGUGGCUUGCUUGCUGAAUAUUCACACAAUAGAUGCCUUGUUCUUUUUUUUUUUCACCAAACACCACCACAAAACUUCAAAAACUCAACAAUGGUGGCUAUGGGUGCUUUUAGGCCGAAAGGGAGCCGAUGGAGGCUGAGGGUGUGCAAGCCUUAACCAUCACAUCUCUUAAAUAGGCCUUAAAGCCCGAAAAUUAGGUUUUUACAACCUGACCGUCGCCAUAUCGUAGCUAACAUCAUGCCAUGUCGUGGGGACCCAAAUGAAUGGGCGUUUCAUCUAGCCUUAACCAUGUCGUGGUGCAUCAUUUGCCACGUUGUGGUCACCACAAAAUUCAUUAUUUAUGACUUGAAUUACCAAAACUCAAAGGUGUUAUUUACUUGGAACUUGGUGUUACAUAGUAAAGAUGAUAUUAGUGGGUAAUGGUCGUACGUAUUAGUCACCCAUGUCGUGCAAUCCAAACUUACAAAAUCCCAGAAACCUUUGAAAAUCUCAUAUAGUUUACCGGAGACAAUAAGGUUACCUUUGAAUUUGACAAAUUUGGAUUUUCUAUGAAGGCUUUCUGCACCCGCUAGAUCCUUCUUCGAUGUGUAAGCUCAUGUGACCUAUAUCCGACCACCGAGUCUUGGUCUCCAGUUGCGCAUCAAAGUUUGGUCCACCUCAGUGCUCAUGCACUUAAGUCAUUAAUGUAAAGUCAUUUUAUUUAUUGUAAUAAAAAACAUUGCUAGUCUGUCAUGUCAUGCAAGUCAUUUUAGAAAACACAUUCAUUUACCUUUUAUUAGUUUAAAUAUAAAUGUUUCUUCUAUGUUUGAUGUGGUUCAUUAUGAUAUUUGAAAUUCACCUAUUACUAGUCUUAGUGACAUUUGAAUCCUUUUGUGAUCCACACAAAGAUAAGAUGUGACAUAUAGCACAAUUGUAGAGAGAUUACUUAACAUCAGGUUAAACAAAAUAUGAAAAUACAUAUAAAACAAGAAAGUGCUUAGCCUAUGAAUAUGUAUUAGCAUCCUAUUUCAGUAACAAUAAUCUUUCUAUUUUUGUGAGAAAGAAUUUGCAAUUAAUCCUAAAAUAUUCAAAUUUAAAUAUUUAACAAUGAUAUUUCUUAUUAUUGUUCAAUUUAUUUAGCUUAUUUGCUUUAAAUCAUUUACAAUUCUAUUUGAAAAGAAACAAAGAUUCUUAUUUCUUAUUAUAAUCAAAUACAUACUUUACUGUAAAAGUAAAACUUGACUCAAAUAAUGAUGUCGAGGUACAAAACUUUUUCAAUUAUCAAGAUUCGUAACUUGACUAAAAUGGCCCGGUAUAUAAUAUUAUAUCAUGUUUUUAAACUAAUAUUCUUAUUUUUUUUUUCGGUGUAUCCUUUACACAACAAGUCUGGUGUUUUUACCAAAUUUCUUCACUUUUGUGAAUAUGUUCAAAAUCAAUUCAAGUGUGAUAUCAAACCCUUUCGAUACGACCAUAUCGACGAACUUGACAACCAUCACUUCCACGUUAUUUGUUAAAACAUAAUUGAAUUCCGCUGAUCUUAUCCUCAUACCUCCCAACACAAUGCGAAGUCCGAACGUAUGAUUUGAUCCAUCAAACACCCAAAAUAUGAAUAAAAACCGCAAAUUGAAUAAAUCGAAUAAAACACAAUAGACACAAUUUGGUUGAAAAAGAUGGAUAAAAACUACAAAAAUAAUGAAUUAAGAGUUAACUUUUUACCUUAAAUUGGAAAAGGGACACAGUAUGCCCAAAACCCAAUUUCGGUUCCAAAUCCAAAUCCCCGAAACCAAUUUCAUUAUAUCAUUCCGAUUCUUAAUUCUAUUAAAAUGUAAAUUCCAGGUUCCUGAACAUUUUACACCCCUUGCUUUACAAAGAUGCCCGAUACUAUUUUAGGGAUUAUACAUUAUUACAAUUACAAUUUACAAAAUAAAUCUUUUAAGUUUUAAUUAAGAAAAAGGUUAUGUAAUUAAUUUGUAAAACGUUACAAAUCCAACUAAGAAUCUAUCACGCUGGCCAUACCCAUCUAUACGUUAUCAUCAUCAAAACUUUAUAUAAAUACCCCUUCAUUGGGCCGAUUCUUUUUAUCCUUGUUUCAUCGUAGGUUUUAUCGAGGCUAUCAGAUUCCCACCUCAUCACUGAUCACUCAGAUCAAAGAAAGGUAAUUUCAUUUUUCAUUUCGUGUUUUUAAUCAGAUUUUUCUUGUCCAUUAUUUCAAAUUAACCCUAUCUUGUAUACAAGCCGUAUAAGAAACACCCAACUGGUAGAGCUCACUUCACAGUCGAUUGUAUCAAUUAGGGACUAGGGUUUAAAAGGGCUAGCUUUUUUUAUGGGGUUUUGUUUUUCUGGAUAUCUUUUUUGAAAUAAUUUAUACCUUUUUUUGCGAAUCUCUACUCGAAUCUUAAUUAGUUGACGAUGGCUCGAUUGAUUAUUCCCUGCAAAGGUUCGAGCUUGCCGAGGACUUGUCUCUUGGGUUUGAUUUCGUCUGCACAUGUGAUUACCGAAUACCAUUUAUUAAUUUUUAUGUUCGUUUGUGUUCUUGAUUAUUAUCUAAUUAACUUAAUAAAAGUUUUCCACAGUUAGCGUUUUGUUUUCAAGAUACGUGAAGAUUAAGGAUACGUGUUAGUGUGUUACUCUCAGUGGUGGGAUUUUUGAGCAUCGUGUAAUUUUACAUGAAUAAUCUGACUAUUAUUUGGAGCAGUAUUCUUGCAGAAAAUCUUACUUUUUUGGCAAUUAAUAAUCAGAAAUUCAGAAUAAUAUUUAGUUUACCUAAAGAAAUGGAACUGAUUAUCGUGACUUCAAAUUACAAGAAUUAGUUUAAACUCACAUUGAAACACUCCAUAAAUGCAAUAUUUUGUAAUUUAAGUUCAUCUUUAUGUUUCUUUUACCCUUUUGAUCUAUUUACAUCUUUAUAAGUUGAUUUUCUUCGUAAUUUAAUCUUUUUCCCCUCCAGGAUUCAUUUAUAAGAUUUUUAUGUCAUAUUUGGUGUCAAAUUUAAGUGUGCUAGAUUACAUGUGUUGACUAAUUUUUCCAAGUCAACCAUGUUCUAUGGAGCCUAAGAAAUGCAACACUUUUUCAUCUAUAUAAUUAAAAGUUCCCAUAAAGUGUGCGAUAAAACGUUUAUAUUAUAUUUUCCUAAUUCACUCGACCUAUACUUUAAUGGUUUUUAACACGUUUCACACGAGUUUUUUUUACAUUUUUUGAUUGAAAACAUUGCAGCUUCAACCUACAUGUCGUAUCCCAUCAGUAAAAUACUCCAACACCAUCUCUAAAUACAGGCUUUAUCAUAAUUCACAGGUUUGUAUUUAUAUCAAUAAUAAUAAUUAAAUUAUCUUUCCAUUUGUGUUUAAAAUCUGAUAUUGAUCCACUUUCAUGGCAUAAUUGUAUUUUGUUUAGCAAAUUAUACGCAAAAGUUGCCGAUUUCCAUACCUUUAUUCACCGGUUAGUUUUUACACAUAACUGUUUUAAUAAAUAUCAAAUAAUGUUAGCCGACAUUUUGUAUAUAUUGAUAGUAUAGGACUCCACAUAUCUAACAAACAUUUAAGAUUCUUGUUAUUAAAUGAGUACAUUUUGUUUAAUAAUGAUUCAUGUUUGGUUUUUAGAGAACUAAUCAAACGAGUAGGAGACUCGUUUGUUCUGUGGCAACCGAAUCCGUGUCAAAAUCAUUUGAAGAAUCGAAAAUGGAGGGUCCUAAAGAGAUUUUCCUAAAAGAUUACAAAUUACCAGAUUACUACUUUGAUACGGUUUGUACUUUGUUCAACUAAAAUGCAUGUUAUUUUUUUAAAGUUUGCAUCUUUAUGGUUUUUUUGUGAAUGAAUUGUUAAUUCAGGUGGAUCUAAAGUUUACGUUGGGUGAAGAAAAGACAAUCGUGUUUGCAAAAAUCAAUGUUGUCCCUAGAGUCAAUGGUAAUAACAGAUGUUAAUUAAUUGAAAAGACGUGUAACAGAGUCAAAGUUAUGUUCUUUUCUUGAUUAUUUAGUGAAUGGAUGCUGUUUUGACAGGUGUCACUCCUCCAUUGGCUUUGGAUGGGAUUGAUCUCAAGCUGAUUUCGGUCAAGAUUAAUGGAAAUGAAUUAAAGGUAUGGAAACACUAAAGUUUAUCUUUAAUUUCCCAUUAAGUUCUGUCUUGACUAAAGCUUACAUUUUUUUUUAAAUGUUCAGGAGGGAGAUUAUGAUGUAGAUGCUCGGCAUCUAAUUCUCAAAGCACCUCCAAGUGGGAGUUUUACCUUGGAAACUGUUACUGAAAUUUCACCACAACAUAACACAUCAUUAGAGGUAAAAAAAAUCUACUAUUUAUUUCUGUUCUCUACUUCUCUUUAGGGCUUUGCUAAAAUUUGUUUAAUGUUUGUAAUGUUUUGUAGGGUCUUUACAAGUCGUCUGGUAAUUUCUGCACACAAUGUGAAGCCGAAGGUUUCAGAAAGAUAACUUAUUUUCAGGUUUGUUAUAUGAAGUGAUUAUUGAUAUCGAUUUGUUUUCUAGUUAUUCUUUCUCCCUUUUUUCAUAUUUUAUUAAUAUUAUUAAUCUUGGUUUCAGGAUCGCCCUGAUAUUAUGGCAAAAUAUACUGUUCGUAUUGAGGCUGACAAGUCACUUUACCCUGUGUUAUUGUCCAAUGGAAACCUCAUUGAUCAAGGAGAUUUAGAGGUGAAACUUGUCUUCUUAUAUGUCUUAACAAAUCAAGUCAUUCUUUUUCUGCAUUAAGUAAGAGAUUAAGCUGUUGAUUGCAGGGUGGGAAGCAUUUUGCUGUUUGGGAGGACCCGUUCAAGAAACCUUGUUAUCUUUUUGCAUUGGUUGCAGGAGAAUUAGAGAGCAGAGAUGACACUUUCAUAACAUGUUCGGGUCGAAAAGUUGAUUUAAGAAUAUGGACCCCACCACAAGAUCUCCCCAAAACCAAACAUGCCAUGUAUUCUCUUAAAGCAGCCAUGAAAUGGGAUGAAGAUGUUAGUUCUUCUUCUUCUUCCAUACUCCCACUUCCUUCCAUCUUUAUUAACAUCUUGACUCAAGGGCGUUUUUGUCAUUUCAUCUCUGGUUCUAGGUUUUUGGUCUAGAGUAUGAUCUUGAUCUCUUCAACAUCGUUGCUGUUCCCGAUUUCAACAUGUAGGCAAAUUGGCAAAACUUUUUUUUUUUUUUUUUAAUUUUGUUUUGUUGUCUGGAUUUAAUUUCUUUACUUACAUUUUUUUGUGGUUUUAAAUUGGCAGGGGAGCCAUGGAAAACAAGAGCUUGAAUGUAUGUGUGUAUAGACAUAUAGUAGUAUUAUAUAAUCUUUUUUCCGCAUAAAAAAAUGUUUUUUAUUAAUCUUUUUUUUUUGUUCUUGAAUAGAUUUUCAAUUCUAAGCUUGUUUUGGCAUCACCUGAGACUGCAUCAGAUGCAGAUUAUGCUGCAAUUUUGGGUGUUAUUGGUCACGAGGUUUGAGAUUCUUUAUUCAUUUGGUCUUUUUUUAAGAAAAUAUAUAUUACUUAAUUUGCUUAAAUAAUAAUUUGUAUAUAUACCCCUUCUAUAUAUUGCAGUAUUUCCAUAACUGGACUGGCAACAGGUUUGAUUAUAUAAACUUUUAUUGAUCAUAUUCUAAAAAAAAUAUGAAAUAUCGUUCUGAUUUUUUUAUAAAUCUUUAUAGAGUGACAUGUCGUGACUGGUUCCAAUUGAGUUUGAAGGAAGGUCUUACUGUUUUUCGUGAUCAAGUAAGACCAUGUUGCAGACUUUUUAAAAAAAAAAAAUCAUUGUAUCUUUUUCAUUAAUAAACAUUUAAUGAUUAUAACAUGUUUUGCAGGAAUUUUCAUCUGAUUUAGGCAGUCGAACAGUUAAGAGAAUUGGUGAUGUUUCAAAGCUCCGUAUAUAUCAAUUUUCACAGGUUUUCAUCUUUAAUCUAAUUGGACAUCAAUUAAAUAUUGUUUUUAUUUUUUCCUUUUUAUAAUAAUUGUUGUCUUUUCUAGGAUGCGGGACCCAUGGCUCACCCUGUUAGGCCUCACUCUUACAUUAAGGUCCGGAGUUCAUUUCCGUUUUUGUAAUCUCUCUUUUGUCUAUUAAAGUUUCAAAACUUACCCUCAACUUUCAACUGUUUUUCUUUUCCUCCUCUCCAGAUGGACAAUUUCUAUACAGUAACGGUAUGCUUCUGAUACGUUCACCCUCGGUUUACUAUUUGUUCUGUUUUGACAAGAAAACACAAAAAGUCAAUGAAUUUAAAUUUUUAUUAUAUAUAUUUUAUAUUGACAGGUGUACGAAAAGGGUGCUGAAGUUGUCCGUAUGUACAAAACUUUAUUGGGAAGUGAAGGGUUCCGAAAGGUAAGGAGAAAGAAGAGAUUCAGUGGUUAUUUUUAGGGUUAAAUGCAAGAAAUAACAAUGUUUCCUAUUUUCAUUUCUUCAUAUUAGCACUUGAUUGUGAUGUAGAAUUGAUGUUUGUUGUUUUAGGGAACGGAUUUGUACUUUAAAAGGCAUGAUGGACAAGCAGUAACUUGUGAAGAUUUCUUUGCUGCUAUGAGAGAUGCUAACAAUGUUGAUUUUGCUAAUUUCUUAUUAUGGUAUUUUACUUUUACAAUAUAUAUAUAUAUAUAUAUAUAUAUAUAUAUAUAUAUUUUAAUGGUUUUUAUUUAAAGAUUUUUAUAAUGUCAACAAUCAUGACUUGUGUUUAGGUAUUCACAAGCUGGUACCCCUAUUGUGAAAGUUACAUCUUCUUACAAUGCUGAAGCUCGAACCUUUUCUUUGAAGUUUAGGUAAGUUUUCAAGACACUAUUUUUAGUUUAUUUUUAUAAAUUACCGUUGUAAUUUUUAUUUUUUUUCAGUCAAACAGUGCCACCUACGCCAGGUCAGCCUACAAAAGAGCCAAUGUUCAUUCCUGUAGCUAUGGGGCUUCUUGAUUCAAGUGGAAAAGACAUGCCAUUAUCAUCUUUCUAUCAAGAUGGGAAGUUAGUGUCCAUCACAUCUGGUGCUCAGCCUGUCUACACUACUGUUCUCAGGGUUACAAAGGUAAUUUUACACUUUGUAGGGCCCGUGAAAACUUUUAUAAGUUAUUCAUCAUACAAACUAAAUCAUUUUUGUGUCUUAAAUUUAGGCUGAAGAAGAAUUUGUAUUCCAUGAUUUGGAUGAAAAACCGAUUCCAUCACUGUUAAGGGGUUAUAGCGCUCCUAUUCGCCUACACUCUGAUCUCACAGAAAACGAUUUGUUUUUCCUUCUUGCUCAUGAUUCAGAUGGAUUUAAUCGGUAAGAAAGACAAAAUGUUAUGUAUAGUUUCACCAUUUUGUUGAUUUAGCCAUUCAACUGUUAUUAUUUUUAUUAUUGAAGUUGGGAAGCUGGACAAAUAUUGGCAAGGAAACUGAUGCUCAACCAAGUUGUUAACUUUCAAAAAGAUGAGAAAUUGGUUCUUGAUCCACAAUUUGUGCAUGGUAUCAAAUGUAUUCUUUUAGAUUCGAGUCUAGACAAGGUAUUUUUCUUUGAAGUUCUUUUUUUUUUGUUCUUGUAGUUUUCAAGAUUUGAGGUAAAAUUGAGCACUAAGUUUAUUCCUUUUUAUUUAGGAAUUUAUUGCAAAAGCAAUAACUCUCCCUGGUGAAGGUGAGAUUAUGGACAUGAUGGAAGUUGCAGACCCUGAUGCUGUUCAUGCUGUUCGAUCUUUUAUCAGAAAGCAGCUUGCUUUGGAGUUGAAACAAGAAUUCAUAAACAAGGUAAAAAAUAUGCCUCCUACCCACCCCACCCCACCCCACAUAUAAACAUCGCGUGAAUUAAUGUUGACAUGUUUGACUUUGACAGGUGAAAGAAAAUAGGAGCUCAGAGAGCUAUGAGUUUGACCAUGUUAAUAUGGCAAGACGUGCUCUUAAGAACACUGCUCUUGGUAUAUAUAUUUUGCUCUUAAGUACCCUUUUUUUUAUGUUGACAAGUGUUGAUGUUUAUGAUUUUGACUUUUUUUUUUUUUGGAAAAAAAAGGGUAUCUUGCAUCUCUUGAAGAUGAAGAAAUCAGUGAGCUUGUGUUGAAUGAAUACAAAAGUGCAACAAAUAUGACAGAUCAAUUCUCAGCUCUUGCAGCCAUUGCUCAAAAACCGGGUAAUGCGCGUGAAGAAGCUUUGGCUGACUUUUAUGAAAAAUGGCAGCAUGAUUACCUGGUAAAUUCUUGUUUUAUGUAAUUUAUUUAGAUUUAUUGAAGUAAAAAAAGGGAUCUUUUUUUAUAUGUUUGUUUUGUUUUCUUGAAUUUUAGGUGGUUAACAAGUGGUUUUCACUUCAAUCUGCAUCGGAUAUUCCUGGGAAUGUUGAGAAUGUUAAGAAACUUUUGAAUCAUCCUGCAUUUGACCUAAGGAAUCCCAACAAGGUCACAACUUUACUCUUAUUUUACUCACCAUUUUAUAUGGAAAAAAAAAGCAAAAAGAGAAAUGGGUCAAAAUGGUUUAGAAGUCUUAUUUUCUUGAACUUUGAUUUUGGACAGGUUUAUUCACUGAUUGGAGGAUUUUGUGCAUCGCCUGUUAACUUCCAUGCUAAAGAUGGUUCAGGCUACAAAUUCUUGGGAGACCUUGUGGUGCAGCUUGACAAACUGAACCCACAGGUGAAAAUGACUUAAUUACCCUUCUUUUAUCUUUCUUCAUUCGAGUAGGACCAAAAUCAGAUUUUUAAAACACCCUUGUAAAGCAUUUUACAAUAGGGCUGGAUGCAAGAUGUUGCAAUUGCAUCAUUCUUGUAUCCAACUCUUUUACAAUACGAAUCUUCUGGGGUUGAUUGAAAUUACCAUUUUACCCUUGUCUUGAUCCAGGUGGCGUCUAGGAUGGUUUCAGCCUUUUCCAGAUGGAAGCGAUAUGAUGAUACCCGCCAAAACCUUGCCAAGGUAAUGAAUCUUGAUCUUUAAUUAAUUAUCGUAUGCUAUAUAUAAUAAACAAAAAAAUAGUAAUAAUUGAAAGUAUGUUUUGCUAAUUCUUGAUGAAAUUGGAAAAACAGGCACAGCUGGAGAUGAUUGUGUGUUGUAACGGGCUCUCAGAGAACGUAUUUGAAAUCGCCUCAAAGAGUUUGGCUGUUUAGAAUCUUUCUUUUUAUGAAAGAAUCAAAGUGGUGAUCAUAUAAAACUUGAAUUAGAAUAAUGAUGUUUUAGUUACUUAUGUACUGGUAAAAUCCCCUGAAAUGGUAAGAACAUGAAUAAUUUUACAACUUUUUCCUUUGAGUUUGUUGAAGAUCUUCAGGUGAAAAAGAAAUGCUAUUUUUCUUGGUCUAGUCCUUAUGUUCCGAAAUUUUCAACAAAUAUAAUACAUUUUAUGCUUAUUGCAUUUGAUCAUUUUAACAUAAAAAACAAGGUCACCUGUUUUACAAAACGGGCAAGGUUAGGGUUAGAAUUUCAACUCGAAUAUGACUUGAAAAUGACCCGUUUAUUUAUAUGCAAGUUUUUCGAAUAAACUAGAAAAAUACAAAACCAAAACCAUAAGGAAAAGAAAACCUUCGAGUCGAGUCGUUUUUGUAAUUCUGAAAUGACUUAGCCGUGAAGAUCAAAACUUUAUUUUCAGUUUUUUCAUUCUCUUCUAAACUAUACAAUCCCUUUGACCACAUAUUGUUCAUAUCAACUGGUAAAAUUCUUUAUAGGUAUAAGUUUUAGUUAUCUUUGUAUGUUCACUUGCUAACAAUUCCUCAAUCUUAGUUUUUCUGGGUAUUUUUGUUUGUUAAUCAUUAAAACAGACGAGAUUGUAAACUACUGGAAUUUGAUUUGCAGAUAACAGAGGAUUUGUGUUGCUUCCAAUGAUGUGUGUUCCUUUUCAACAUUGAGAUUAAGUCAAAUUUUAAGUACUUAAUGGACAAACUCUGAACCAAACUAGUUCCUAACAUCAUUAAGCCUUAACAUCCAAGUACUUAAUUGAUUAAGCCCUUCUUUUGCUUGAUCUCUUUAUGCCGGAAAUGAUAUAUAUACAUUCAAAAAUUCAUAAAAGGAAAUAACGGUUGUGAAUUAAGACACAUAUUUUAUGGAGAUCUUAAUAAAUAUAUAUAACUCAAGCGAAAAUUUAUAAACUAGUAGUAAAUAUAAAUGAUUAAGUCAUCUUUGUCUUUUUCUUUUGCAUUUAAUGCUUGGGAGAGUCCCAUAAUUUCUUCUUGCUUCAUUUUUCCACAAUGAAUCCUUUCUUCUUGUCUUUAACCAUUAAGUCAAGCAAACUUGAGUUUGAAUUCCAUAUGUGUCAGUUAGAGAAACAGAAAGGAAAAAAGGUGAGAUAGGCUUGCAUUAAUUAUUACAUCUACUUAAGUCAUUAGUUGAUCACAAGUAAGAGAAAGAGUCGAUAUAGUUUCUCAUUUACUUCAAAACCCAUAUGUAGUUUUUGCAUGCAUGAAAAAGAGUACUUAAGUGAGUUCUAAGCCAAGAUAACCAUAAUCUUUCUUCCCCAAUACAUUCUAAAUAUAUAACAACAUUUCUCGAGUUUUGGGGCUUAUUUUGUUGAAGCAAAACCCCAAAAAUACACCUACAAGGAGUUGGUAUAUCAAGAGAGGUAUUUAGGUAACAUACUUCGCAAGCUUGGUCUUUGAAGCUUCAAAAUCUGAAGUUGUGUUCAUUUUAAGGUAUACAUAUGUCUAAGAUCUCCCCUUUUUAAAUUCAUAAAGUUUAUAUUUUUAUACCAUCAAGUUUACAUUCACUCACUUGGAGUCACAAAAAUAUGUAUAAAACACACUUGAAAUCCUAUUUAUAUGUACUUUUAGUAUGUUUUAUAUAAAGAGUUAUAGAUAUACUUUCUGUAAAAAUCAUCUAAAAAAUAAAAUAUAUAUUUAUUCUAUAGUUUUGGUUCAAUUGGAAAAGUAAAAUAAACCAAAAAUGAGUUUUUAAUUAUACGAGUUUUUUAGCCGUAUUAUGUAUUUUUAACAUAACCUAUGUAUAAUUGAUUUUGAGUAUACAAUGAAACUUUAUGUUUUCUGUAAAAAUGGAUUUUUACAUAAAGGAUUAUUUAUAUACAAGUUGGUAUUUUUCCAGAUGAAUAAUAUACAGCAGAGUAUUUAUCACAAAAUAGAAUUUUUGUGUAUUUGAAGUUAUAUAGUGUAUUAAAUUUUAUAUAGAUUUUCUACUAAUAAGAAAAUUAUAUAUUUUGCCAUAAAAAUGAUAUUAAUUUCAUUUUUAUAUAAAAAGAGUAUUAAUGACGCUAUAAAUAACACUUUAUAACUUAUAACGUUUUUAUCAUAAAAACCUAUACAUGUUGCUCGGAAUAAAAUUAUACAAUUAAACUUUUGGUAAUCAUAUGUUAUUGAAAAUAUUUAUGUCAUUUAUAUUAACUAUAAAAUAAUUAUUAUUACAUUUAGUUGAUAGAAAAUUUAUUAUCGAUAAGGAUAUUGUUUGGCAAAACUAACUGAUGACCGAAAGCUAUAACUUUUAUCUGUGAAGUAGUGUUCGACAAAAAUAGUUGUCAACUUUUAAAGAUGUAAAAUUACAUUAAAACUAAAACAUAAAAGCUACCAAAAAGUUAUUUGAACUAACUUUUAGAUCAUUUUUUUUGGGAACUCUUUUUUUUGUAUCAAAUAUACCAUACAACUUAUUAGUUGUGUUCGCAAUAACCAUUUUGACGGCUAUCACCUGUUACUCAAGGUUUCUGGUGAUUAUUCUCUCCGGCACCUUCUCGGUGAAACAUGAAUAUUCCGGCGAGUUCUUGGCAAAUCAGAUAUGUGUUAUUGUUUGUCAAAUCCGAAAUCGUUUUAAGCAUUGUCACAUCAUAACCCACACAUGUCGAAGAUUGAAAACUGAAAUUGUGUUUGUGUGUGAAAAAGCAAAAGCUGAAGUCGUUUUUUAGGGUUUUCAUUUGAAGAAGAUGGCAAAAUCGAGCCUCAAAAUCAAGCUUAACGAUGAACAUUUGUCGACAUAUAGUUGUUUAGUUUUGACGAACAUACACGAAGAACACACUCCAUAUCCAAAAUCGAGUUUCAAAAUCUAAGAUCGAGAUCGAAAAUCGCAAAUGGAAGCUUCAUUGUUCUUGUUAAUGGAGAAAUAAAUGGUUUCUUCUUUGUUUUUGAAAACCCAGAAACGCGAAAACUAAAAUAUGAAAUCUUGUUUGUGUGUGAGAAAUCAAAAUCUGAAAUCGUUUAUAGGGUUUUCAUAUGAACAAGAUGGCAAAAUCAAGCCUCAAAGUUGAUCUUAACGAAGAAUAUUUUCUACAUUUUGUUUCCAAAUUUGAAGAAUACAUACGAAGAACACACUCCACACAAAUCGAAGGGUUUCUUCUUUGUUUUUGAAAACCCAGAAACAAAACCCUUGAAAUCAAAUGGUUUGAAAUCGAUUUGUUCCACACAACACACACCUAAAAUUCUCUUAUAGGUAGGAGAUUCAAGAACGAACGAACCCUAGAUUUUAGGGGUUUUGAUUUUCUGAUUUCGAGUUUGGAUCAGAUUUUUGUGUUUGUGUAUGUGUAAAAUUUCCAUCAAAACUCUCUUACCCGACAUGAAUUGCUUCAUAUUUGUGCGACCUUUGCCAAGAACUCGUCGGAAUAUCAUGUUUCGCCGGAGAAGGCGAGAGUUGUCGAAGAAGGUGACCGGAGAGGACAAAGACACCAGAAACCUUUGAGAUUGUCUACGUUUCGACGUAUUUAUUAUUAUUAUUAUUAUUAUUAUUAUUAUUUUAUGUUUUCGUACUUAUUUUCUCGACCUAUAUUUUAAUGUUUUUUAAAACGUUUCACGCAAGGUUUACAAUUUUUUUAUUGAAACAUUGUAGCUUCAGCCUAUGUGUCGUAUCCCAUUAGUAAAAUGCUCAAACACCAUCUCUAAAUACAUAUAUUAUCAUAAGUCAAAGGUUCGCAUCAAUAAUAAUUAAAUAAUCUUCCUGUUUGUGUUUUAAAAACUAAUCUUGAUAUGUUUUCAUUAAGGGUGAGCAAAAAUCGUACCACAACUAAAAUUAACCGCAACCGUAAUAAAAAACGAUGGUGAGGUUUUCUAUUUUUCAAAAACCGCAAAUUGCGGUGCGGUGCAGUUAUCAGUUUUCAAAAACCGCAAAAAACCGCACCGCACCGCAUAUAUUACAUAUAAUUUUUUUAUUAAUUAUUACUAUAUUAAAUAUUAAAAAUAAGACAAGUUUCAUGGUUGAAAGAUAGAUAAAAUACUAGAAGACAAAAGUGUUGGUUUUUUGUUAUGCUUAACUUUGGAAAAUGAUGAAAUUAAACAAUUUAAAGAUAUUUAUUGUUAAUUACUAUUGAUUUGACAUUUUUAAAAUAUUAGUUGUUUGUGAUUUAAAUUAAUUGUUUUAUACCUUAUGUUUCUUUUUUAUUUUUUUAUUUUUAUCAUAAAAGUAAUAUGUUUGAACUCUGAAAACCGUUUGAGCUCUAAACUGUGGUUAAAAAAAAUACAAAAUAACCGCAACACAAAAAAAUAAAACCGCACCGCAAAAAUAACCACACAAAGCGGUUUUGAAAAUGGAUUAACCGCAUUUGCGGUUAGUAGUAAGGUUUUGGCUAAUAACCACACCGAACCGCACCACGCUCACCUCUAGUUUUCAUGGCGUAAUUGUAUUUUGUUUUGCAAAUUUUACACAAACUAGUUUAAUAAUUACUUUUAGCCUACAUUGUACAUAUUGAUAGUAGAGGGACUAUAUUUACCUUUUCUUCUAUUAGCGCCCUAGGGUCGGCCCCAAACUCAAUUUAGCAAAAAGAAAAAAAAAACAAGGGUUUUACUUUUUACACAUCAUCCUAUUCCAAGUCUACUGCACACCAACCUAAUAUUGUGUUGACCUAUAUAUUUGACUUUAACUUUCUCUUUAUUUCUUAAACACAACUUUUAACACUAGUGACGCAAUGAUUAACUAUAAGAAUAGGAAAACAAUAAAAUACAUUUAAUUUAAUAUUAUGUUUAUGCCCCUUUAUUUAUAUAUUAUUUUCUAUUUUCCUCCCUUUAACUUUACAAACAUAUACAACAUAUUGUUUUUUAUUAAUUUAUUUUUGGAUAUAUUUAUUUUGUGUUAUUUUUAAUAUAAAUAAUCUAUCUCGCAUAUAAACAAAUUCGACAUGUAUGAUACUUCAUUAGUUAUAUUGGUUUCUAUUUUUUUUAAACAUUAAGUAUCAUUACUUUGAUCUUUUUUUAGUUAUAUAUAUAUAUAUAUAUAUAUAUUAUUCUUGUAAUACUAUAUUAGUAUAGGGUUGUAUUUUAAANNNNNNNNNNNNNNNNNNNNNNNNNNNNNNNNNNNNNNNNNNNNNNNNNNNNNNNNNNNNNNNNNNNNNNNNNNNNNNNNNNNNNNNNNNNNNNNNNNNNNNNNNNNNNNNNNNNNNNNNNNNNNNNNNNNNNNNNNNNNNNNNNNNNNNNNNNNNNNNNNNNNNNNNNNNNNNNNNNNNNNNNNNNNNNNNNNNNNNNNNNNNNNNNNNNNNNNNNNNNNNNNNNNNNNNNNNNNNNNNNNNNNNNNNNNNNNNNNNNNNNNNNNNNNNNNNNNNNNNNNNNNNNNNNNNNNNNNNNNNNNNNNNNNNNNNNNNAAAAAUAAGUUUAAAAUUGUUAAUAUUAAUAAAGUUAGUAAUAAAAAUAUAAUUAUUAAAUAAUAAAAUUUUAUUGAUUUUGUUAUAAUGAAAUAACGAUAAAAAUUAUUCAAAAUAAUAAUUAUAUUGUAAUCAUAACCUAAAAAAUAAUGCAAAUGAUAAUUAUAUAGUCAUCAUUUACCUAAAAAGUAAGCUGGUAUAGGAUGGUGUUGUAGAUUGGUGUGUAUAAAUUAUCUACUUCUAUUUGAAUGCCUCUGUGGAAUGGAAAAAGACCGAAGGAGGCAAGAAUUAGCCAAUCAGGGCGUCUUAUGAAUCAUUAAUCGAAUCGACAUACUUGAUAGAUAUCUCCACCUCGACGUCGUGAAUCGACAUACCUCUGAUAAGGGGAUUCAAGAAUUACUCAAAUGAAUAGAACGCAUCUUUCCAACUCACUCUGUUCUCUCUUACAGUCGCAGUCGACUUCCCGGCUUCUAACCCCUAUUUCUCACAAACUCUCGCAUUUUCAUUAUGAUUCGCACUCUCGAUUCUCUAUGCUGAUUUCGAAUCUUUGCGACUUCCUUGAUAUCAGAUAAGAAUUUAAGAAGGUAUGAUUUUUCUUUUAGAUUUUUCGUUUCUGAAAGCUUAUAGCUUUGUGUAUCAGAUUUUUUUUUUUUCCUGAUUUUUGCUUCUCAUUCUAUGUUAUCAGAUUUUUUGUUUCUCAGAUUUCUGAAGUCUACUUAUUCAGAAAGUUCUGAUAAUCAAUGUUUUAAAUUUAAGAAUUUCCACUCAAUUAGGUAUUAUGUUUCUAGAUAUUUGUAUAUAAUUAUCUAAAGAAAAGUUUUAUCUUCCAAUUUUUCUACUGUUUUUAUUAUGACUUUAUUCUUUCAGAGUUCCAUAUCUCGUUUAACAAGCUAAUAUUGUAAUUUGAGGAGUUGUUUAUUAGAUUUUUUAUUUUAGUUUAGUUAUCAUUUUUAUGACUUUUAUUACAUAGUGGUUUUAUUUGACAGCUUGCAUUUGUAGAUGCAUCUCUACAACUGUAUAAAGAAGUUUAAAGAAGUUAGAAGUUUUCAAGAACUUAAAAUGACCUAGGUCAAAAGGCAUCUAUAGAGAGAAGUUUACCUUGAAGUUGUUCAAAGCUAGCUAAAGUUAUUGAAGAAACAUCUUAGGUGAAAGUUAUGUAUAGAUGUAUAGAGAAAGAUAUUGGCAAUAUUAUGUAUAGAGAAAAAAAAAUGUUAGAUUAAAUUGAUCUUGUUAGUUUUGUAUCUAAUAAAGCUAGAAAUUUAUUGUCUUUUGUAAAUAUUGGUGGUGUUUUUGUAAAUACUAUGACUAUAUUUCUGGUUUGGAUGAUAUUAUUGAUUAUUAUUAUAAAUGAUAUUUUUUUUGAAAUUUUUAUUAUAUUUGGCAUUGAGAUAUUUGACAUUGGGGUCAUUUUUUUCUUCUGUGUUUGGACUGGCCCUGUAUAUACUAUAUAUGAUCUAGGACUCCACAUAAGAUAAGUCAUAACUCAUAACUCAUAAGAUUCUUGUUAUUAAAUGAGUACAUUUUGUUUAAUAAUGAUUCAUGUUUGGUUUUUAGAGAACUAAUCAAACGAGUAGGAGACUCAUUUGUUCUGUGGCAACCAAAUCCAUGUCAGAAUCAGUUGGAGAAUCAAAAAUGGAGGGUCCUAAAGAGAUUUUCCUAAAAGAUUACAAAUUACCAGAUUACUACUUUGAUACAGUUUGUACUUUGUUCAACUAAAAUGCAUGUUAUUUUUUUAAAGUUUGCAUCUUUAUGGUUUUUUUGUUAAUGAUUUGUUAAUUCAGGUGGAUCUAAGCUUUUCAUUGGGUGAAGAAAAGACAAUUGUGUGUGCAAAAAUCAGAGUUGUCCCUAGAGUUGAUGGUAUAUAUGCUUUGUGAUUUUCAUUGACAUACACUUUUUUCUUUCCAAAAUAAGUCUAUUAACUUCUAAUAACAUAUAUUAAUUAAAUGAAAAGACCUUUAAUAGAGUCAAAGUUACGUUCUUUUCUUGAUUGUUUAGUGAAUGGAUGUUGUUUUGACUUGCGACAGGUGUCGCUGCUCCAUUGGCUUUGGAUGGGGUUGAUCUCAAGCUGAUUUCGGUUAGGAUUAAUGGUAUUGAACUGAAGGUAUGGAACACUAAAGUUUACAUUUGAUUUCCCAUUAAGUCCUUUCUUGAUAAAUGAUGUUUAUUUAUUUGAGAAAAUGAUGAUAAACUUUGGAAAUGCUACGAAAAGAUAAAUACAACAAAUUUCUGAAAAGUUGUACUUAAUAUUGAAAGCCUCAUUUCCUUGAGCUUCUUUAUUAAGUCGUUCUUUUUCAUAUUAAGUCAUGUCCACAUUAAGUUUAUCAAGUAAAAAAGAAACAACACCGAAGGCUAAACCUUACUUUUUUUUUUUUUAAAUUUCAGGAGGGAGAUUAUGAUAUAGAUGCUCGGCAUCUAAUUCUCAAAGCACCUCCAAGUGGGAGUUUUACCUUGGAAACUGUUACUGAAAUCUCACCACAACAUAACACAUCAUUAGAGGUAAAAAAAAUCUACUAUUUAUUUCUGUUCUCUACUUCUCUUUAGGGCUUUGGUAAAAUUUGAUUAAUGUUUGUAUUGUAGGGUCUUUACAAGUCGUCUGGUAAUUUCUGCACACAAUGUGAAGCAGAAGGUUUCAGAAAGAUAACUUAUUUUCAGGUUUGUUAUUUGAAGUGAUUAUUGAUAUUGAUUUGUUUUCUAGUUAUUCUUUCUCCCUUUUUUUUUUUAAAUAUUUUAUUAAUAUUAUUAUUUUGGUUUCAGGAUCGCCCUGAUAUUAUGGCAAAAUAUACUGUUCGUAUUGAGGCUGACAAGUCACUUUACCCUGUGUUAUUGUCCAAUGGAAACCUCAUUGAUCAAGGAGAUUUAGAGGUGAAACUUGUCUUCUUAUAUGUCUUAACAAAUCAAGUCAUUCUUUUUCUGCAUUAAGUAAGAGAUUAAGCUGUUGAUUGCAGGGUGGGAAGCAUUUUGCUGUUUGGGAGGAUCCAUUCAAGAAACCUUGUUAUCUUUUUGCAUUGGUUGCAGGAGAAUUAGAGAGCAGAGAUGACACUUUCAUAACAUGUUCGGGUCGAAAAGUUGAUUUAAGAAUAUGGACCCCACCACAAGAUCUCCC
rnacentral:lncRNA from 1 species